rnacentral:rRNA from 1 species
GGGAUAGCCCAGGGAAACCUGGAUUAAUACCGGAUGAGACGGGACCCGCGAAGGCGGGACCCGGGAAAGGCGCUGCGGCGCCGCCGGGGGAUGAGUCUGCGUCCCAUUAGCUAGACGGCGGGGUAACGGCCCACCGUGGCGACGAUGGGUAGCCGGCCUGAGAGGGUGGACGGCCACAUUGGAACUGAGACACGGUCCAGACUCCUACGGGAGGCAGCAGCUAAGAAUCUUCCGCAAUGGGCGAAAGCCUGACGGGAAGCGACGCCGCGUGAACGAAGAAGGCCGUGAGGUUGUAAAGUUCUUUUCGGGAGGGGGAACAACCGUGGCAGGGAAUGGCCGCGGGAUGACGUGAAUCCCGGAAUAAGCCCCGGCUAACUACGUGCCAGCCGCCGC